rnacentral:rRNA from 1 species
CAAUAGCGUAUAUUUAAGUUGUUGCAGUUAAAAAGCUCGUAGUUGGAUUUCGGUUAAGAGCGACCGGUCCGCCGUUUGGUGUGCACUGGUUGGUUUUAACUUCCUGUAGAGGACGUGCUCUGGGUUUAACGACCUGGACUCGGAGUCUACGUGGUUACUUUGAAAAAAUUAGAGUGUUCAAAGCGGGCUUACGCUUGAAUAUUUCAGCAUGGAAUAACACUAUAGGACUCCUGUCCUAUUUCGUUGGUCUCGGGACGGGAGUAAUGAUUAAGAGGAACAGUUGGGGACAUUCGUAUUUCAUUGUCAGAGGUGAAAUUCUUGGAUUUAUGAAAGACGAACUUCUGCGAAAGCAUUUGCCAAGGAUGUUUUCAUUAA